CACUUCCUGUUAAAAAAAAUGGCACGCUGACAAAAGACCUCGUCGAAACCGGUCCGUGUUUUGACUGGCGUCGGCGUUUCUGGGAGAAAAGACCGAACUGGAGCACCGGAGGGGUGGGCGGAGCCAAGUCAACUUUUGCCUGGCCGACGCCGCUGAUGAUCAUUGAUUCUGUCAGGAGGAUACAACAGCAGUCAGCAGUUUCCAAGGAGCAGACAUCAUCACUUGCUAUUUUCAAACAAGAACCAGGGGAGAUGUGAAAGCAUUCUCACCGGCCUCCCACCGCCACGCGGGUGUGCCACAGCGUCAUGUGACCUCACAGGAGAACAAGUGGCGUGCGAGCGCCACUUCCUCCUUGCCUCGCACUGACCGCUGGAGUUACGUGCGUCCUAAUUUGAAGGCUGAGGGUGGAUGGCCAGUGGCGAAAACAACAGCCAACUUGUCCAGGUGGCCGUUACGCUCAGACGUCGUGCGGACGCUGCAGGACCGGAAGAUGUGAGGAGUUUGGAAUUGUGACCCCCGAGAGUAGCUGCUCUAAUGGAGGAGCUACAGACCUGAAUAGAAGACGACCUGACUUGCUGAUAAUGACUGAUACGAGUCUUCAUGUCGGCCUGGGAAGGCAAACAAGUGAGAACUUUUGUGGGCAAUUGGAACCUACGAGAGGCUAUCAUUGGCAAAAGGCAAAAUAAUAUAAGACAACCCUGAAUAUAAGUCAAUCCAUUUUUGGAAAACCUGUUUGUGAGGAAACCACUUUUUAAGACAAAUCUGCUUAUUUUCAAUAUAACUUGAUGUUCGGAGAGCUACAGACCUGAAUAUAAGACAACCUGACUUGCUGACUAUUUAUUGGGAAAUAAUGUCUCAGAUACGAGUCUUCAUGUCAGCCAGAUAGGGUAAACUAGUGAGAAGUUUUGUUGGCAAUUGUAAUCUUCGAGAGGCUAUCAUUGGCAAAAGGCGAAUUCAUAUAAGACAACCCUGAAUAUAAGCCAAUCCCUUUUUUGAAAACAUAUUUAUGAGUAAACCACUUUUCAAGACAAAUCUGCUUAUUUUCAAUACAACUGCAUGUUAGGAGAGCUACAGACCUGAGUAUAAGACAACCUGACUUAGACUUAGACUUAGACAAACUUUAAUGAUCCGCAAGGGAAAUUGUUCCACACAGGCUGACUAUUUAUUGGGAAAUAAUGUCUCUGAUACGAGUCUUCAUGUGGGCCAGGGAGGGUAAACUAGUGAGAAGUUUUGUUGGCAAUUGUAACCUACGAGAGGCUAUCAUUGGCAAAAAGCGAAUUAAUAUAAGACAACCCUGAAUAUAAGUCAAUCCCUUUUUUGAAAACAUGUUUGUGAGGAAACCACUUUUCAAGACAAAUCUUCUUAUUUUCAAUACAACUGCUUGUUAGGAGAUCUACAGACCUGAAUAUAAGACGACCUGACUUGCUGACUAUUUAUUGGGAAAUAAUGUCUCUGAUACGAGUCUUCAUGUCGGCCAGGGAGGGUAAACAAGUGAGAAGUUUUGUUGGCAAUUGUAACCUACGAGAGGCUAUCAUUUGCAAAAGGCGAAUUAAUAUAAGACAACCCUGAAUAUAAGUCAAUCCCUUUUUUGAAAACGUGUUUAUGAGGAAACCACUUUUCAAUACAAAUCUGCUUAUUUUUAAUACGACUUGAUGUUAGGAAAGCUACAGACAUGAAUAUAAGACGACCUGCCUUGCUGACUAUUGAGAAAUAAUGUCUCUGAUACAAGUCUUCAUGUCGGCCAGGAAGAGUAAACAAGUGAUACGUUUUGUUGGCAAUUGUAACCUACGAGAGGCUAUCAUUGGCAAAAGGCAAAAUAAUAUAAGA